GCUGAGUGCUGCAUUUCCUCAUAUUCGCAGCUCCAGCUUCCAGUCCAUCUGUGCCACUGGAAGGAGCUGGUGCUGUAGAAGCUCAGAAGGAAAACACUGCAGCCUCAUAACGUCUCUAGAGUCAGUGUGGAUGAUUCAGGUCUCAACUACAUGGCCUCAACAUCUUGGCUUCCCCUGUGGCCAAGGUCAGGCUAGGCAGGGAAGGACCAGCAACCACACGCUGAGAUCUUUUGAUUCAGAGUCCUCCAGGAAACCUCCUCAGACUGAUCUCUCAACCCCAGUAAACUAGUGUCUGAGCAUCGGGCAAGAGGCUUAACUGGCUACUGCUUUGGACACUGCAUUCCUUGGCCUCCAGACCACGCGGAUCUUGGCAUAUAGUCUCACCAUGUAGCCCUGGCCAGGAA